rnacentral:lncRNA from 1 species
CUUUUUUCGAAAACAUUAUUUUGCUAGUAUGACUUCUCGAGUUGAAUUGGUACAAUUCAAUGGUAGGGGAGAUUAUUCCAUUUGGAAGCAAAAAAUGAAAGCUAUUUUAAUUCAACAAAAAGUUUCUAAAGCUCUUGGCGAUCUGAAAAAAUAUACCGAUACAUUAAAAGCUAAACCGGAUGAAAUUACUAAGAUGAAUGAAAUUGCACAUAGUUUGAUUAUAUUGCAUUUAUCUGAUGAUGUGUUAGGACAAGCUGAACGACAUAAGACUGCCAAAGAGUUUGGGAAGCACUUGACAAGAUUUUUUUGGAACAAUCUCUUCCAAACAAAAUACAUUUGCUUCAAAAACUGUUUAGUUUUAAGCUGGACCCGGAGAAGGAUCUUGAAUCAAAUUUGAGUGACUUUAACAUACUCGUCAAGUCUUUGGCCCACAAUGACAAGAAAUUUGAUGAUGAGUAUCUAACGGUUAUACUUUUAAAUGCUACGCCUGAAUCUUAUAGAGAUGUUAGGAAUGCUAUCUCGUAUGCUAGGGACACUUUGACCCAAGAUAUUAUGACUGAUGCUUUGAGGGUUAGGGAGCUAGAGUUUAAGAAACAGUCGAGGGGUAGCUUGAGAGAAGAGAGUUUGUUUGCUAGAUGGAGGAAUGAGAGGAGGGAGAACCAUUUUCAAAGUAAGAAGGCAAAGAAAAAUUGAAUGGUAGGUCUAAGUCUAGAGAUAAGAAUGGUAAGAAAUGCUUCCAUUGUGGCAAGUUAGGACAUUUCAAGAAAGACUGUAAUGACCUUAAAAAGAAACAAAGAUCGCAGCACAAUGAUGAUCAGAACUUAGUUGCUAUAAGUGAUUCCCUCGAUUGCCUACAUGUUAUGAUCAUGUCAGGAGAUUUUGACACCGAGGUAAAUGGUGCUCGUGAUAACAUACAUGUCAUGAAUGUUUCUAAUAUUGAUUUUGACACUUAGUGGGUAUUAGACUCAGGUGCUAUUGUUCAUAUGUGUCCUGUAAAAUCUUGGUUCUAUAAUUAUAGAGAUGUGAAUCCUAGAAAAGUAUACUUAAGGGAUGAUCGUACACACAAUGUAGAAGGAGUAGGUGAUAUUGCUAUUAGGAUGCAUGAUGACAUUAUCAGACCCUUUAGAGGUGUUAGGUAUGUCCCGGGCCUGGCAAGGAAUCUCAUUUCCUUAGGCACUCUAGAAGAAGAAGGUCAUGAGUUCAAAUCUUAUGCUGGUACUUUAAAGAUUUGUAAAGGAUCUCUAGUUGUUAUGAAAGGUCCUAAGAAUAAUGGGUUAUAUGUCAUUCAAGGUAAAACCUUGGAUAGCAAAGAGUCGGCAUUAUCUUUAGUUUGUGAAGAUAAAUCAGAUCUUUGGCAUAAGAGGAUGGGACACAUUGGGAUCAAAGGAUUGAAAUACCUUAGUGACUAGAAUUUACUUGAUAAGGAUAAUGUUACACCUUUAAGUUUUUGCAAGACGUGUGUUCUAAGAAAGUUACACAGGCUUAGCUUUGGGAAAGGCGAACACAGCACUAAGAGACCAUUGGACUACAUUUAUGCAGAUUUGUGGGGUCUUAAAAAACACCCCACACAUGGAGGAAAUAGAUUUUUUCUAUCCAUUGUUGAUGAUCACUCAAGGAAAGUUUGGGUGUAUCUCCUUAAAUUCAUAUCUGAAACUUUUAGUAAGUUUAAGUCUUGGCUUGCCUUAGUUGAAAAUCAAAUGGAAAAGGGUGUGAAAACUCUUAGGGCGGAUAAUGGUUUAGAGUUUUGCAACUUCGAAUUUGAUAAUUUCUGCAAGGGAAAGGGUAUAAUGAGGCACAGGACUGUAAGACAUACCCCUCAACAAAAUGGGGGUAGCAGAGAGAAUGAAUCGGACUUUAAUGAAUAAAGUCAGGUGUGUGAUGAUUAAUUCUGGGUUGUCUAAAGGUUUCUGGGGUGAAACCGUGUGCACUGCUACCUAUUUAAUAAAUAGGUCACCUUCUAGUUCUGUUAACUUCAAGACUCCUCAAGAGUUGUGGUCUAGAAAAUCCCCAGAUUUGUCACAUAUUAGAGUGUUUGGUUGUAUGGCUUAUGCACAUCAGGUUGAGGGCAAAUUGGACCCUAAGGCUACUAAGUGUGUUAUGUUAGGUUAUCCAGAGGGAGUAAAAUGAUAUAGACUAUGGAUUCUAGGUGUAAAGGGCAUUAAGAUUAUUAACAGUAAAGAUAUAAAGUUCAAUGAACUUGAUAUGCUUUGUCUUAAAAAUCUAGUAAGUCAGAGCAAACAUACUGAGGAAGGAGAAUCUUCUACUGGAAAGAAGAUGAAAUUUGAGGCAAAGAGAUUAGGUUAUACUCUAGAGGAUAGUGAAAUUCAACCUCAAGAAGAAUCUGAUCAAGAAGCAGUGAUAGAACAACCUGAACUUCAAAUUCCUGAAACUAUUGUCUCUAAUCAAGAAACAUCUGCAUGUUCUAAUUUUGAUGAUUACCAAUUAGUGAGGGAUAGAGAGAGAAGACAAGUGAAGCCCAAUUUGAAAUACAUCUCUUCAAAUUUGAUGGAAUUUGUCCUAGUUUCAGGUGAAACCUUGGAGUCAAUUGAACCGACUUCAUUUGAGGAAACGAUUAACCGUGAAAAUUCUGAAAGUUGGAAAAAGGCAAUGAGAGAAGAGAUCCAGUCUCUAAACAAAAAUGAGACUUGGAAAUUGGUUGAAAAAUCAAAGAAUCAAAAGGUAGUCCAUUGUAAAUGGAUCUACAAGUUAAAAGAAGUAGUAGGACCUAAAGACCCUUUAACAUACAAAACUAGGUUGGUUGCGAAGGGAAUUACUCAGAGAGAAGGGAUAGACUAUAAUGAGAUAUUCUCAUCGAUUAUUAAGUAUAAAACUAUUAGGUUAGUCUUAGCCUUAAUUGUCCAGUAUGAUUGGGAGUUGGAGCAACUAGAUUUUAAGAUGGCUUUUCUUCAUGGGGAGUUAGAUGAAUUGAUUUACAUGUCUCAACCUCAAGAGUUCGAGGUGAAGGGAAAAUCAGAAUUGUGUGUUUGCUUAUAAAGUCCUUAUAUGAUCUUAAGCAGAGUCCUAGGCAAUGGUAUAAGAGAAUUAAUGCUUAUAUGCUUAAAAUUGAUUUUAAGAGGAGGGAAUUUGAUGCAUGUUUAUAUUUUAAUAACUCUAAAAUAGACUGUGAAGUUUAUUUAUUAUUAUAUGUGGAUGAUAUGUUGCUUACUAGUCCUAGUAAAGUUGAAAUCAUAAAGAUGAAAAACCUUUUAAAAUCGGAAUUUGAGAUAAAAGACUUAUGAGAGACAAGAAAAAUCCUUGGCAUGGUUAUUAAAAGAAAUAUGGCUGAUAAUAGGAUGACUAUUAAUCAAGAGUCUUAUUUGGAUAAAGUGAUAACCAAAUUUGGUAUGAAAUUUGCUAAGUCUGUCAAUAAACCAUUAGCUGCACACACGAACUUAUCAUUUGCACAAUACCCUAAAACUGAAGAAGAAAUGCAUGAAAUGAGUAAUGUUCCCUAUGCUAAUGUCAUUGGGUCUGUAAUGUAUUCUAUGAUUACCACAAGAUCGGACCUUGCAUAUGUAGUUAGUUUCUUGAGUAUGUUUAUGUCUAACCCAGGUAAACCACAUUGGACUGCACUUAAAUGGCUAUUAAGAUAUCUAGCUGGAUCUUUGAAAGGGGGAUUAGUAUUUGAAAGAAGAAGUAACAAAUUAGAACUUAAAGGAUAUGUAGAUUCUGACUUUGCGGGUGAUAAAGAUCAGAGGAAAUCUACCACUUCUUACUUCUUCACUUUUAGUUGAUAAUUGUAUCACUUGAAAAUCACAGUUGCAACCUAUAGUUACACUUUCCAGCACUGAAGCAGAAUAUGUUGCAUUAAAUGAAGCUGUAAAUGAAUGCAUGUGGCUGAAAGGCCUUCUAUGUGAAUUAAACUUCUUGAAUGAUAAUGCCAUGAUUUUACUGAUAGUCAAAGUUCAUUGAUGUUGUGUAAAAAUCCUGUUUAUUAUGAACUUAUUAAGCAUAUUGAGGUGAAGUAUCACUUCAUUAGGGAGAGGUUAGCUUCUGGUGAUUUUAUUUUGCUUAAAAUUGUAACUGAUGAUAACCCUGCGGAUGUUGGAACAAAAGUACUUGCGGUUAGUAAGUUCAACAUAUGUUUAUCAAUACUAAGUAUUGAUAAUGGUUAAUUGUUGUGCAGGUACUAAGCUGGAGUGAGCGAUGCUGAUAACAAUAAGACCACACUAAUGGAUAUCACUUGCAACCAGGGAAUUUGACGAUGGAUAUUAUGUGAUCCAAGGUGAAGAUUUGUAAGGUGGAUCACAUCCUAUUAUUGGUGCAAGUUGAUUGGUCUAGAGAAUGUGACUUGGAUUGUGCUAGUUAUAGAGUAAUAUGGACCAUAGAUUAAAUCUAAUUGUUAGAUUUAAUCUUGUGGUCAAUUACCUAUACUAGUGUUGUCACUCUCUUGACCAUAGUACAAUAUUUGAAUUUUGAAUUCAAAUGAAUUGGCUCUAUAAUUACAAGAUUUCUUCAUUCUCUCAUACUUUGAUUUUGGCAUAACAUUUGAUAGAGAGCAUAGAGAGGUAACCAAGUGGGAGCUUUCCAUAAUUCCAGCGAAAUUCUUGGUGGCUUCCGGUGGAUCUUUUCUCGGUAUAUUCAUUGUCAUUCUCGUGGACGACGGUGCAUGAUCUGGUGUGGCACAAAUCUGAGCUCAACAUCAAGAACACUUCAUUGGUGGUGUUGAAGAAGUUUUGAGUCGUUUUGGUUCGGUUUUACACUUUGAGAGUUUAUUAUUCCGCAUUGUAGUUGUAAUAAUAUUUUAUAAACUACACUUUAAACUCUA